rnacentral:rRNA from 1 species
GAACCGACUAAUGUUGAAAAAUUAGCGGAUGACUUGUGGCUGGGGGUGAAAGGCCAAUCAAACCGGGAGAUAGCUGGUUCUCCCCGAAAGCUAUUUAGGUAGCGCCUCGUGAAUUCAUCUCCGGGGGUAGAGCACUGUUUCGGCAAGGGGGUCAUCCCGACUUACCAACCCGAUGCAAACUGCGAAUACCGGAGAAUGUUAUCACGGGAGACACACGGCGGGUGCUAACGUCCGUCGUGAAGAGGGAAACAACCCAGACCGCCAGCUAAGGUCCCAAAGUCAUGGUUAAGUGGGAAACGAUGUGGGAAGGCCCAGACAGCCAGGAUGUUGGCUUAGAAGCAGCCAUCAUUUAAAGAAAGCGUAAUAGCUCACUGGUCGAGUCGGCCUGCGCGGAAGAUGUAACGGGGCUAAACCAUGCACCGAAGCUGCGGCAGCGACGCUGAUGCGUUGUUGGGUAGGGGAGCGUUCUGUAAGCCUGUGAAGGUGUGCUGUGAGGCAUGCUGGAGGUAUCAGAAGUGCGAAUGCUGACAUAAGUAACGAUAAAGCGGGUGAAAAGCCCGCUCGCCGGAAGACCAAGGGUUCCUGUCCAACGUUAAUCGGGGCAGGGUGAGUCGACCCCUAAGGCGAGGCCGAAAGGCGUAGUCGAUGGGAAACAGGUUAAUAUUCCUGUACUUGGUGUUACUGCGAAGGGGGGACGGAGAAGGCUAUGUUGGCCGGGCGACGGUUGUCCCGGUUUAAGCGUGUAGGCUGGUUUUCCAGGCAAAUCCGGAAAAUCAAGGCUGAGGCGUGAUGACGAGGCACUACGGUGCUGAAGCAACAAAUGCCCUGCUUCCAGGAAAAGCCUCUAAGCAUCAGGUAACAUCAAAUCGUACCCCAAACCGACACAGGUGGUCAGGUAGAGAAUACCAAGGCGCUUGAGAGAACUCGGGUGAAGGAACUAGGCAAAAUGGUGCCGUAACUUCGGGAGAAGGCACGCUGAUAUGUAGGUGAAGCGACUUGCUCGUGGAGCUGAAAUCAGUCGAAGAUACCAGCUGGCUGCAACUGUUUAUUAAAAACACAGCACUGUGCAAACACGAAAGUGGACGUAUACGGUGUGACGCCUGCCCGGUGCCGGAAGGUUAAUUGAUGGGGUCAGCGCAAGCGAAGCUCUUGAUCGAAGCCCCGGUAAACGGCGGCCGUAACUAUAACGGUCCUAAGGUAGCGAAAUUCCUUGUCGGGUAAGUUCCGACCUGCACGAAUGGCGUAAUGAUGGCCAGGCUGUCUCCACCCGAGACUCAGUGAAAUUGAACUCGCUGUGAAGAUGCAGUGUACCCGCGGCAAGACGGAAAGACCCCGUGAACCUUUACUAUAGCUUGACACUGAACAUUGAGCCUUGAUGUGUAGGAUAGGUGGGAGGCUUUGAAGUGUGGACGCCAGUCUGCAUGGAGCCGGCCUUGAAAUACCACCCUUUAAUGUUUGAUGUUCUAACGUUGACCCGU